UACGAAGGGGGCUAGCGUUGUUCGGAAUCACUGGGCGUAAAGGGCGCGUAGGCGGCGCGACAAGUCAGGCGUGAAAGCCCCGGGCUCAACCUGGGAAUUGCGCUUGAUACUGCGGCGCUGGAAGGUGGGAGAGGAUGGCGGAAUUCCCAGUGUAGAGGUGAAAGUCGUAGAUAUUGGGAAGAACACCGGUGGCGAAGGCGGCCAUCUGGCCCACAUUUGACGCUGAGGCGCGAAAGCGUGGGGAGCAAACAGG
rnacentral:rRNA from 1 species